GCUCCAGUUCUACCACCAGUGGCUGGUUUUGCACCGGGGCUGUGGAUGUGCUUUGUGUCCACCCUCACAUACCGAGUAUCGAAGACCAGAGGCAACACACUCGCGAAGGAGCUUGGUGCCCACAGGAUAUUAUCAGGUGUGAUCUUAAAGAAACUCGAAUUCCUUAAAGGCUGGGUGUUUGGAGAGCCCUGACUUGUGGGAUUUUCCUCUCAGAACACGGCAAGGAGACCUCAACGCCUCCAGGACUCACUCGGCUUUUCCGGACGGUGUGAGGCUUUUCACGGCGCCAUUUGGGAUCUACUUGAUACAGACGAAUGUGCUUCCUGAUCUUUCUGCCUCUGUUGUUCUGAGUCCUGCUCUUUGGGCAACGUUCGAAACAACCACAACCUCUCACUCUCAUCACAUUUACUGAUUUGCCAAAUUCUUCCAUCAUCUCAGCUGAUGUUGGUACAUGCACCUUUUUCUAUCCUCUGUAGUCUUUGGUGGCCAGGAAGUGAUUUAUGGAAGAUGCCACGCAGUCCUCCGGCAGCCUGUUGGGCCGAGUCCCUUUUGCCUUCUCUUGGGCCGCUGCCUCUGGUCAGCGCGGCUCGGAGGAGGAGACGGCCCAGCCAGCUGGCCCUUCUGAGCGGCCUGGGGAAGACGCGCCAGCACCCUUCAAACCAGGA